GUCGUGAAGUACUUCCAAAGAAGUGCUGUCCUCAUGUGCUUGUCAAAAGUAAGGGGAAAAAAAAGAGUCCUUUCCUGUUUUCUGCAUUUUUUGAAAUGAUGUCAGAUCAGCUGUGAGCUCACAUUGGUCAGCCCGUGUGCUUCGUGGCCCGCCAUUGGCCCACAAGCAGGCGCUGAGAAGGUGGUUUUCUGUUUUCACCAAUGAAUGAGAUCACUCGCGGGCAGUGCCUGAAAUUGGGCAAUUCUUUAGAAUAUUGACUCAAUUCAUGAAUGCCUCUAAAAAGAACUGAGUGAAAAGGAGGCAAUGGUAGCGUGAAACUGGAGUAACGGGCAGACUCGACUACAAAUGUCCAUCUGUUUCUUGUUUCUUGCGUGAAGCAGCAUCUCUAGCAUCUAGCAAACAUGGCGAGAGUGAACAAUAUGGCGCCGGCUCGUUUCUCUCGCCAUCUGUCCGUCGGUGCGUAAGGACAGAACAAGGCCAGAGGUGUGCAUUUGACCAAUAACACUCCGGCGACCCAGCUGCCGCGUUCGGCAUUGUGAUGAGUUCCUGCAUCUACUCACGACAAUUCAUGUGACUUCUUACUGUAACACUUUUUCUUUUCACACUUCCCCUUUCGCUGACUCCUCCUCCCUGCUCGUCCUCUCUCGCGACAGCGUGUCCCUCCCUUCCGCUUACUGCGUGUGUAUAGCCGCCCUCCCUUCGCUCUCUUUCCCUCUUGGCAGCGGUGCCAAAGUGGGCUGGCAGAGGGAGGCAAACACAGCGCAGGCCAGACCAGAGGGCGAUCCAAAGCCUGGCAAAAUUAACCACGCAGAUGUUUACAACUCGCGUCUGUUGGGUCGUCGUCUCGGUUUCGUUUCCUUGAGCUUGGUUGGCGCCCUGCCCUCGAUUCUGCGUACGCUUGAGUUGCCGGUGCUCAUUUUCGGAGCAAGAAGGACGAGCAGAAAAUCCUUACCUUCUGACAGCUGUUACUGUUUCCCCUGCCCUUUGGUAAACCUAGGUUAGUUAAGGUUAACCUUCCACUCUACAUCUUAUUGGCAUCUCCUUGGAGGCCUCUCAGCGUUUUCUCAUCAAACCGAUAUGUCAUUGUCUUGCGGUUCCCUUUUCGGAGCCCCCACAUCUCCGCCAGGCACUCUUUGUUUUGGGAGGAGAACUGAAAUGUGCCCGAAGAGGACUGGACCCACCAGAUGCAGCUUCGCAUUGACGGCGUCUGCAGCAUCUCGAACAGGAACUGGAACAACCGUUCCUUCCUCUUUCCUGUCAAAGAAGAACGGGAUGUUGUUAAAUCAUGAGGGGACAAUGAGUAUGACUAAAUCAAAGCUUCAUACAAAAAACAGAGGGGGUAGAGAUUUGCACAAGAGAAGUGUUUGUACCCGAGAAUGGAGCAGGAAGCAACGGGUCUUUGUCGGGUCUGCCUCCGCCAUUAGAGGUUGGAGAAGGGGCAUCGUGAUAUUCGUGGUACUGCGAGCAACUGGACUGAGAGUCUGAGUCGAUACACACAAUCGCCUGAUCUGAAUAGGCAACGUGAUCCUAGAGCAAACAUGUACAAACACAAGUCAGUGGUGGGUUUCCUUCACCAACAGAUCAUUGGCAGAAUUUACAAUAUGCAUUUACACGAGAACAAAAUUACCGCCACCAACAAGUAUACUUUUAAUCUGGGAUGCCCAUUAAAAAUUGCGAUAUUGAGGCCAUCAUCAAAAGAUUGAUGCUGUCGGGCUGAAUCAUCAUAUUUUCUAAUAUGGUCAACUUCGUUUUUCUUUACAAAUAUGGAGAGAGUAAUGGUCUGCUGACUCAAGAUUUGAAAGUGAGUUUGGGAAGAUGAUGUUAUCACUGAUCUUAGCUUUUGUUAAGUAAUAAAGUCUUUCGUUUUUUAGGGGGGGUGUGAGCGCAGACUGAUGUGUCUGUAAUUUUCCAAUCAAUGAAAGCAGGUGAUAAACGAGUAUCCAUUUUGUAUCAAAUUAAAUUUGUCGAUUGAAACAUGA